UUUUUAUCACAUGGAUAAAUGAGAAAGAAAAUGAUUUACUAUCUAACUAUAAAAUAGUUACUUUAAUAAAUAAUAAUUUCAUUUAUUGUUUAGUUUACAUGGCAAUAACGAUAUAAGCAACUUAUGGAUAUUGUUUAACUUAAUUGAUAAAAUAUAUUAAAAUGAUCCUACAAGAGGCAGACUUAAUUUCGCACCAAGCUCACAUGAGUAGAAAAUAGAAUGAAUGUUUUUUUUUAUAUAAAAAAAUGAUGAGCAAGUAACAAUAUAAGAAACAACUUGAUUUACUUUCACUUUGUAGAUAAGAAGAAGAAAAUAACAUGUUAUUGGAUUUUUAUUUUAUUUUUUAAAAAAAGAAAUUUAACGAUGUAAUGGGGAAUUAUAGAUUACACUGAUUCAUCUGAAAACGUUUUUCAUGCAAGCGUGCGUGUAGCUUGUGGGUUGGAUACGGGGUAGGGUCAGCGUAGCACAAAACACAUUCCGUCCCCGAAAUAUAAAUUGAGGUGGAUGCGUCAUGCAUGACCCACGAUUGAUCCAUUUAAUUUCUAAAAUAUUCAAAUUUAUUUAUUUUUUUUCCUUUUAUUUUGGACAGACUGUGGUCAACAAUUUUAACAUGACCAAAUUGCAGUUUAAAUAAUAAAAGAAUCUGAUAAUAUAUUAAAAUUAGUAGAUCUAACUCGAAAUAAUUUAAUGGAGUUUUAAAAGACAAUCGACGGGACAAGAGGAUCUCAUGGGAUGCGACGCGACAAGAGGAUCUCGGCCUCGGGCAAUAAUAAUAUAAUUAGGGUUAAUUUUGUCCUGCCCCCAACUGUUUCAACAUUUAUCGUCACGCACUCAUAUGUUUCGAAAAUACUCACUCUACACCUAAUUUCGUUAAUUUGACCGUUAUGUUUAACGGAACUAUUUGUAAUUUAAGUAAAUAUCCGAAAUACCCCUUAUCUUGAGAAUUAGAGAAAAAUAAAAUAAG
rnacentral:lncRNA from 1 species